rnacentral:tRNA from 1 species
ACGCCUUUAGCUCAGUUGGUAGAGCAACUGACUCUUAAUCAGUGGGUCCAGGGUUCGAGUCCCUGAAGGCGUACCA